GUGUGAGCGUGUGACUGAGUGCAGGUGUGUGUGAGUGAGUUUAGGUGUGAGCGUGUGACUGAGUGCAGGUGUGAGUGUGAAUGCGAGAGUGAGUGCAGGUGUGACUGAGUGCAGGUGUGUGUGAGUGAGUUUAGGUGUGAGCGUGUGAGUGAGUGCAGGUGUGAGUGUGUGAGUGAGUGCAGGUGUGAGUGAGUGCAGGUGUGAGUGAGUGCAGGUGUGAGUGUGUGAGUGAGUGCAGGUGUGAGUGAGUGCAGGUGUGAGUGUGUGAGUGAGUGCAGGUGUGAGUGAGUGUGUGAGUGCAGGUGUGAGUGUGAAUGCGAGAGUGAGUGCAGGUGUGAGUGAGUGCAGGUGUGAGUGUGAAUGGGAGAGUGAGUGCAGGUGUGAGUGAGUGCAGGUGUGAGUGUGAAUGGGAGAGUGAGUGCAGGUGUGAGUGUGAAUGGGAGAGUGAGUGCAGGUGUGAGUGUGAAUGGGAGAGUGAGUGCAGGUGUGAGUGAGUGCAGGUGUGAGUGUGAAUGGGAGAGUGAGUGCAGGUGUGAGUUGUGUUGCUGUUUGUUUGGGUUCUGAUGGUUCUGGUUCUGUU